rnacentral:snoRNA from 1 species
GUGAAAUGAUGAUGAAGUUUAUCCAUUCUCUGAAUGUGUUGCUCUGCUCUUCCUGCAGCCCUCAGCUCCUGUUCUGGGAACUCUGAGUUAUGUAACCUCCAGACGCCCUCCAGGCUUGCAGCGUUCUGCUGUACUUGGCAGGGGUGUGUGGUGGUCUUACUAGUAGGAAGAGAUGGUGUCAGCAGGGGCGGAACCCAAUCAGUUUAAGGGCCCACUCAAGACGAAUGACUGAUGUCUGAUCAC